rnacentral:rRNA from 1 species
UCUCAAACCCAAAAUGUCUUGAUGUCAAACCUGGUUUCCCACUGAAGCUAAGCAGGGUUGAGCCUGGCCAGUACCUGGAUGGGAGACCUCCUGAGGAAAAGCAAGGUUGCUGCUAGAA